rnacentral:sRNA from 1 species
UUGUAAGUUUCUUCUUCUUCUUGUUUCU